AUACGUAGGGUGCAAGCGUUGUUCGGAAUUAUUGGGUGUAAAGCGGAUGUAGGUGGCUUAUUAAGCCAGAUGUGAAAGCCCGGGGCUUAACCCCGGACGUGCAUUUGGAACUGGUAAGCUAGAGUGUGUUAUGGGAGUGCGGAAUUCCUGGUGUAGCGGUGAAAUGCGUAGAUAUCAGGAGGAACAUUCGUGGCGAAGGCGGCGCUCUGGGGCGACACUGACACUGAGAUCCGAAAGCAUGGGUGGCAAACAGGAUUAGAAACCCCGGUAGUCC
rnacentral:rRNA from 1 species